ACCACUCCUAGAGUUUCAUCAGAGAAUACCUUCUGCAACUUGUGCCCCUCCUCUGUCCCCAGAACUACAGACCUGUCACUCGAGCAGCUUUUAGGGUCCCCAGUGCCUGGUCCAUCAGCCCCCCUCUUCAUGUCACCUGCUUGGCCCUGUGGACACUGAAGGUCAAGGACACCCACACAAGGUCACACCAGCAGCAUGCUGGCGUGUCUUGGCUCAGAAACCCUGGGAACCUAUGAAGACUCUUUUUUUUUUCUUCAUUUCAUGUUUUUUUCUGUGAGAAAUAGGAAGGUGAUGGACUGGACUACAGAUUGAAACCUAAAAGAUACAAGGACCAGAAAUUUUUUUCAUAUUGGAUUAACAGAGUAAAGAAUUGAUCUAGUUGGUCUAUAGCCCUGGACUGGGAUUCCAAUUAAACAAUAAAGUCCUAAAAUAUUCACAGGGAGAAUAUACCACAUCAAGAAAAGCUUA
rnacentral:lncRNA from 1 species